rnacentral:lncRNA from 1 species
UUCACUUAACUACCAAAUGUGUUGUCUUUUGUCUCAUGUGCACCAAUUCUCAAAGAAAUCAAGCAUGUGCCUUCCAAACUCUAUAAAACCAUCCUCUCUCUCCUACCAUGCAGAAAAAUAAAAUGGAAACCACACCAAGCCAUACAAUUCACGUGAGCAAUGCAAGGAACUUCUACAAAAGUUGCUUCAAAAACCAAUGUGCAAAUGGAAUAUACUUGGAUGGUCUAACCAAUGUGCCAUGUAAGCAAAACCAAAUGAAAUUAAACAACCAAAGACCUCCCAUGCAAAGGCAAUUCAUGGCUGGAAUUCAAACAAAGCCAAAGCUCAAAAUGGAAAUCUUCCUAGAAUGAAAAUAAGCAUCUUUUUUGUUUGCCCAUAAGUGGUAAAAACUUAAAUGCACUCCUCUCUCUUCCUUUCCUUGUCCAUUUUGGUUUUCUCACUCUCCAAGACACUCCUCCAGCUCUUUCUUCUUCCUCAAAUAGAAAACACACACCCAAGAGACCCCAUUUCAAAGUUCAACUCCAUUCAAGACAAUAAACCCACACUACUACUACUUCAACUCCACCCAAUCUUCCAUUUCUUCAAGCUCUUGUGCAAAAACGAAAAUAAAAUUAUGCCAUUCAACUCAACCACUGUCCAGCCCCAAUAACAUCAUCAAAUUCUGGUUCCAAACUAGUUUCAAACAUCAAAACCGAAAUAUGAAGAGAAAGAGCCAAACCCACAACACCCACACAUCAAGUUAAGCUUUAUUCAACCCAAAACUCACAUAGAAUUCUAUUUUCAUCAACCAACCAAAUAAAAUGCAAAGAAAAACGUGAGGAACAGCAGCAAGGGAUAGGAAAACGAAAAUCUAAAGUCACUCAAAUCCAACAAUCACCAUGGAAAAGCAAAGACAGGCUUAAAAGCUCAAGCUUCAAACAUUAAAAACAAGCAAAUGGAAGGAGGAAUGAAUGGAUUCCCACCACCAAUGAGUUAAGACAACCAAGAGUGAGUCAAGGGAAGAAGAAAAUAUGCAUAAUAUUCAUUGAAAAUGGUCCAAAACUGUGCACCAAGCAAGCACCCAUGAGAGCAUGUCCAAAACAAGAGAAACCCUAGGAGAAUGAACCAAAACCUUGAGUUAUGGAAGUGUGUGUGUGGUGGCUCGGUAUUCUACCUUCUAAAACUGAGAAAAUCAAUUUUUGGUGGGGUCCACACACUACAAGUCAGCCCUAAAGGGAUG